rnacentral:rRNA from 1 species
CCAAUAGCGUAUAUUAAAGUUGUUGCAGUUAAAAAGCUCGUAGUUGAAUUUCGGGAUUAAUUUACUGGUCGUGCUUUUGUACGUACUGGUUUUAUUGAUUCCUCCCUUCUGACGAACUAUGAUGUCAUUAAUUUGGUGUUAUAGGAAAUCAGGACUGUUACUUUGAAAAAAUUAGAGUGUUUAAAGCAGGCUCACGCUUGAAUACAUUAGCAUGGAAUAACGGAAGAGGACGUUUGAUUCUAUUUUGUUGGUUUCUAGGAUCGACGUAAUGAUUAAUAGGGAUAGUUGGGGGCAUUAGUAUUCAAUUGUCAGAGGUGAAAUUCUUGGAUUUAUUGAAGACUAACUACUGCGAAAGCAUUUGCCAAGGAUGUUUUCAUUAAUCAAGAACGAAAGUUAGGGGAUCGAAGACGAUCAGAUACCGUCGUAGUCUUAACCAUAAACUAUGCCGACUAGGGAUCGGAUGAUGUUAAUUUUUUAAUGACUCAUUCGGCGCCUUACG